CAGUCGCCGCGGGAAUACGAAGGGGGCUAGCGUUGUUCGGAUUUACUGGGCGUAAAGGGCGCGUAGGCGGACUGAUAAGUCAGGGGUGAAAUCCCAAGGCUCAACCUUGGAACUACCUUUGAUACUGUUUGUCUUGAGUUCGAGAGAGGUAAGUGGAACUGCGAGUGUAGAGGUGAAAUUCGUAGAUAUUCGCAAGAACACCAGUGGCGAAGGCGGCUUACUGGCUCGAAACUGACGCUGAGGCGCGAAAGCGUGGGGAGCAAACAGGAUUAGAUACCCCGGUAGUCCCUGUCUCUUAUAA
rnacentral:rRNA from 1 species